UACUGUUAGAAUAUAGUUACUACACAAUUUUUGAUCAGGAAAAAGUUACGAUGAUUGCAACUUAAAUACCGAAGCCAUUUGUUAUGAGAAUACGCCGUUACCACAAAUAAUCCACAUAGAUGCAUUGAAAGAAACUUUACUGAGUAACAUAAUGCAUCAGAAUACUAUAGGCACAAAGAAUGAAAUUUCUGUAGAUUUACCAUACAUUUUACUUUUCUUGCACGUGAUAAGAUUACUAACGGAAGUUACUUACCGCCCAUUGUCUGGAAUAUAAACUAUCCUUUCUCGUCUGCAAACACGUGCUUUUGCGGCAAGUAUUAUCAAUUUUUUUCCGUGAUUGAAAAGCUUUAACGCACACAAAUCCCGCCAUCAUACACAAAUCCACAAGGCAUCAGCAUGCCAUGUUCAAAGAAUAUCCGCGUUUCGAAAACUACCAGCGAUAUUGGCUUGCAUGAGAGACGACCUCAUGCCAUGAUAUGACGUCAUGAUUCCUCGGGGCCCGCGAGACGCUUCUGCAUCAACAUGCCAUGUUCAAAGAAUAUCCGCGUUUCGAAAACUACCAGCGAUAUUGGCUUGCAUGAGAGACGACGUCAUGCCAUGAUAUGACGUCAUGAUUCCUCGGGGCCCGCGAGACGCUUCUCCCAUGGAGGUAAGAAUAGAGAGAGACGCUGUGACGUCACAGCUGCGAAGCUAUGUGAAGCCGAGGCUAGCCAUCUCAAUCCGACCAAAACAUUGCUGCUGUAAGCUUGUGUGCAUAGGCUUGUCGCUCGCUUUUGGAAGGAUUUUGCGCUAGUAUGGUGACUUGUUUGGUGUUCGGAUGUACGAAUCGUUCUGAUUGUGAUGCGAAAUCGAAGGGAAUAACAUUUCAUGUAUUUCCUAAAAAUGGAAGUCGGAAAGCUCUGUGGGAGAAUACAGUGAGGAGGAAGAAGUGGCGUGCGUCUACAUAGAGCACUAUAUGUUCUCAGCAUUUCCGAGAAGAGGAUACAGACUGAACUUCCCUUUCAACAGUAAGGUUCCGAGAAAAUACUGUAGCAUCAAUUUUCCCUACACACCCAAAACAUUUGCAAAAGGGAGACAAGAAGAGAAAGCCACCAUUGCGGAAGGAGAGCUCUUCCUUUCCAUCUUCAGUUUUGGCUGCCGUCAGCAGAGUGCAGGAUGAAGAAGUUCCUGCUCUUGUUCCUGAGUACACUGCAGGACCACCAGAACGUAGUCAGACAUCCUCUGAAAGUGAUGAACUGAAGACGAAGUGUGAACACCUCAUAAGAAAAACUGAUCAGUAAAAAAAAACAAAUUAAAACUCUUCAUCAGUCUAAGCGAUGACUUAAGAAGAAAGUGGCUUCUUUGAGUGCUAUCAUUAAGGUACUGAAAGACAAGCAUCUUGUGGAUGAAAGUUCACUAAAUAUACUACACUCCUGGAAAUGGAAAAAAGAACACAUUGACACCGGUGUGUCAGACCCACCAUACUUGCUCCGGACACUGCGAGAGGGCUGUACAAGCAAUGAUCACACGCACGGCACAGCGGACACACCAGGAACCGCGGUGUUGGCCGUCGAAUGGCGCUAGCUGCGCAGCAUUUGUGCACCGCCGUCAGUGUCAGCCAGUUUGCCAUGGCAUACGGAGCUCCAUCGCAGUCUUUAACACUGGUAGCAUGCCGCGACAGCGUGGACGUGAACCGUAUGUGCAGUUGACAGACUUUGAGCGAGGGCGUAUGGUGGGCAUGCGGGAGGCCGGGUGGACGUACCGCCGAAUUGCUCAACACGUGGGGCGUGAGGUCUCCACAGUACAUCGAUGUUGUCGCCAGUGGUCGGCGGAAGGUGCACGUGCCCGUCGACCUGGGACCGGACAGCAGCGACGCACGGAUGCACGCCAAGACCGUAGGAUCCUACGCAGUGCCGUAGGGGACCGCACCGCCACUUCCCAGCAAAUUAGGGACACUGUUGCU